rnacentral:tRNA from 1 species
GGGCGAGUGGUGGAAUGGUAUACACGCGACACUUAAAAUGUCGUGGCCGUAAGGCCUUGUGGGUUCGAGUCCCACCUUGCCCA